GUGGGGAAUAUUGGACAAUGGGCGAAAGCCUGAUCCAGCCAUGCCGCGUGUGUGAAGAAGGUCUUCGGAUUGUAAAGCACUUUAAGUUGGGAGGAAGGGCAGUAAGUUAAUACCUUGCUGUUUUGACGUUACCAACAGAAUAAGCACCGGCUAACUUCGUGCCAGCAGCCGCGGUAAUACGAAGGUUGCAAGCGUUAAUCGGAAUUACUGGGCGUAAAGCGCGCGUAGGUGGUUCAGCAAGUUGGAGGUGAAAUCCCCGGGCUCAACCUGGGAACUGCCUCCAAAACUACUGAGCUAGAGUACGGUAGAGGGUAGUGGAAGGUCCUGUGUAGCGGUGAAAUGCGUAGAUAUAGGAAGGAACACCAGUGGCGAAGGCGACUACCUGGACUGAUACUGACACUGAGGUGCGAAAGCGUGGGGAGCAAACAGGAUUAGAAACCCGGGUAGUCC
rnacentral:rRNA from 1 species